rfam:Chlorocebus sabaeus isolate 1994-021 chromosome 26, whole genome shotgun sequence.
GGCUAGUCCGAGUGCAGUGGUGUUUACCAUUGAUUACAACUAGUUACAGAUUUAUUUGUUUCCUUCUCCACUCCCACUGACUCACUUGACUGGCCUAAA